rnacentral:tRNA from 1 species
GCCGGAGUGGCGGAACUGGCAGACGCGCUGUGUUCAGGGCGCAGUGGAUGUACGUCCGUGGGGGUUCAAAUCCCCCCUCCGGCA